AUCUUUCUAGUAUAGGUAAUACUAGUGACUUCCAAUCACUUAACCCUAGUUAAAUUCUAGGGAAAGAUA
ensembl:Mt_tRNA